rnacentral:pre_miRNA from 1 species
AACAUUCAACGCUGUCGGUGAGUUUUGACUUUUCAAAUUAAACCAUCGACCGUUGGUUGUACC